AUUUCAAGUGGAAAAUAGUAUGUGAAUCCUAUAGGAAAAACAACUCUUUGUUUCCUGAUUUAAUAGUAAUGAAGGAAGGAGAUGAAUGACGGAGUCUCGCUCUGUCGCCCAGGCUGGGGUGCAGUGGCGCGGUCUCGGCUCACUGCAAGCUCCGCCUCUCAGGUCCACGCCAUUCUCCGGCCUCAGCCUCCUGAGUAUCUGGGACUACAGGCGCCCGCCACCGUAUCCGGCUUACUUUUUUUGUAUUUUUAAUAGAGACGGGGUUUCACUGUGGUCUCGAUCUCCUGACCUCGUGAUCCACCCGCCUUGGCCUCCCAAAGUGCUGGGAUUACAGGUGAGAAUUAUGAAGAUGAUGACCUAGUAAAUUCUGAUGAGGUUAUGAAGAAACCAUGUCCAGUACAGAUUGUUCUUGCUCAUGAAGAUGACCAUAACUUUGAACUUGAUGAAGAAGCUUUGGAGCAGAUAUUGCUACAGGAGCACAUACGAGAUCUUAACAUAGUAGUGGUAUCUGUGGCAGGAGCUUUUCGUAAAGGGAAGUCAUUUCUACUGGACU
rnacentral:sRNA from 1 species